UACAGAGGAUGCAAGCGUUAUCCGGAAUUAUUGGGCGUAAAGCGUCUGUAGGUGGCUUUUUAAGUCCGCCGUCAAAUCCCAGGGCUCAACUCUGGACAGGCGGUGGAAACUACCAAGCUGGAGUACGGUAGGGGCAGAGGGAAUUUCCGGUGGAGCGGUGAAAUGCGUAGAGAUCGGGAAGAACACCAACGGCGAAAGCAAUCUGCUGGGCCGACACUGACACUGAGAGACGAAAGCUAGGGGAGCGAAUGGG
rnacentral:rRNA from 1 species